AUGAUGUCAUACCUGUGGAUUCUGCUAUUAGGAAGCCUGCUGGCUACGCACGCCAAGGCACAAGACGAUAUAAUCCCAACAGUAGAGCCAUCUAUUGAAACUCCCACAUCUAAAGCAGAUGUAGAGGUCAUCGACCAACAUAACCUUGAGGAGGCAGUCACUGCAACUGAGGAAGUAUUGCAGCCUGAGCCCACUGCUGACCCUGAGACUGAAUUAAUCCAAGAAGCAAAUGCUGCAGAUGUAAGCACAGAGCCAGUGGCUACAGAUGCUCCUGCAGGUGAGGAGGGGGAAUCAGCAAGUCCUACGACUGGAGAAACAGAAGCAAUUAUUUCUGAAGCAGCUACAACCACACAAGCUGCUGAUUCUGAGGAUGACGCUCCAGAAGCUACGCAAACAGCAGUUAAUGAGGAGGAGCAACCCACCACAAAUGCGAAUACAACACCUGCUCAAGACAAGAGUGGACUUCAUGACAUCAUAACAACAGUAGGUCUAGAAACCAAUGAGGAGGCACCAACUGAUCCAUCUGCUAAUGAAGAGUCAUCCACAGAUGAUUUCACAACAUUCGCAGAUGAAACUGUCACUAUGAAUCCAGGGUUUAACAUUGAGAAGACGUCAAUUGCAGAGCAGGAAACACAUGGGUCAAACCAGGAAACUCACGUGAAGGGCAGGAUGGGACCACAGCUGAAUUCAGGUGUGUCUGCUUUGGGUGCCUCAGGGAGUGAUGAUAAACAGUCCCAAAAGGCCAGCUCAAGCUCUUUAGCAGCAAUCCUUAGUGCGAUUGUUGUGUCUGCAGUGGGAGCAAUCGCUGGAUACUUCACCUAUCAACAGAAGAAGCUGUGCUUCAAAAAUAGACAGGAAGCAGACCCUGAGGCUCCACACAAAGCUGAUGCAGCAGAGGCUCGGUCAGAUCCCCAGGGUAUGACACACACACACACACACACACACACACACAACGAAAACGUAAAGAACACAUUUUUUGAUAUAAAUAUUUACAUGUAG
rnacentral:lncRNA from 1 species